rnacentral:rRNA from 1 species
GAUGAACGCUGGCGGCGUGCCUAAUACAUGCAAGUCGAGCGAACGGACGAGAAGCUUGCUUCUCUGAUGUUAGCGGCGGACGGGUGAGUAACACGUGGAUAACCUACCUAUAAGACUGGGAUAACUUCGGGAAACCGGAGCUAAUACCGGAUAAUAUUUUGAACUGCAUGGUUCAAAAGUGAAAGACGGUCUUGCUGUCACUUAUAGAUGGAUCCGCGCUGCAUUAGCUAGUUGGUAAGGUAACGGCUUACCAAGGCAACGAUGCAUAGCCGACCUGAGAGGGUGAUCGGCCACACUGGAGCUGAGAAACGGGCCAGACUCCUACGGGAGGCAGCAGUAGGGAAUCUUCCGCAAUGGGCGAAAGCCUGACGGAGCAACGCCGCGUGAGUGAUGAAGGUCUUCGGAUCGUAAAACUCUGUUAUUAGGGAAGAACAUAUGUGUAAGUAACUGUGCACAUCAUGACGGUACCUAAUCAGAAAACCACGGCUAACUACGUG